rnacentral:rRNA from 1 species
GAUGAACGCUAGCGAUAGGCCUAACACAUGCAAGUCGAGGGGCAUCACAUGAAGUAGCAAUACGGAUGGUGGCGACCGGCGCACGGGUGAGUAACACGUAUGCAACCUGCCUUCAACAAGGGGAUAACCCGUUGAAAGACGGACUAAUACCCUAUAACACAGGGGUCCCGCAUGGGAAUAUUUGUUAAAGGACAACCGGUUGAAGAUGGGCAUGCGUUCCAUUAGCUAGUUGGCGGGGUAACGGCCCACCAAGGCAACGAUGGAUAGGGGAACUGAGAGGUUUAUCCCCCACACUGGUACUGAGACACGGACCAGACUCCUACGGGAGGCAGCAGUGAGGAAUAUUGGUCAAUGGACGCAAGUCUGAACCAGCCACGUCGCGUGAAGGAAGACGGCCCUACGGGUUGUAAACUUCUUUUAUACGGGAAUAAAGUGCCCCACGCGUGGGGUUUUGCAUGUACCGUAUGAAUAAGGAUCGGCUA